CUUCAAUCUUUAAUCUCUCUUCAAAACUCAUCCUUUGCAGUCCCGUAAUAAGCCUUGUUGCUCUUCUCUGGACUCUGUAGUACUGAUACAUAGUACAGUGAAAUACAUGUGCUGCAACAUAUUAUACACUCUGGCACCAUGAUUAAACACAGUGUGCUUGAAGAGAAACAGGUCCAACCAGAUCUGGUUACCACCUGAACAACAGAAACCAAACAAGAAGGAACAGGGAUGAAUC